AUUGAACGCUGGCGGCAGGCCUAACACAUGCAAGUCGAACGAGUGGCGGACGGGUGAGUAAUGUCUGGGAAACUGCCCGAUGGAGGGGGCUAACUACUGGAAAACGUGGCUAAAACCGCCUACCAUGCGUUCUGGCCUGAUGGGAUUAGCUAGUAGGUGGGGUAACGGCUCACCUAGGCGACGAUCCAUAGCUGGUCUGAGAGGAUGACCAGCCACACUGGAACUGAGACACGGCCCAGACUCCUACGGGAGGCAGCAGUAGGGAAUAUUGGGCAAUGGGCGAAAGCCUGAUGCAGCAACGCCGCGUGUGUGAAGAAGGCUUUCGGGUUGUAAAGUACUGUCAGCGGGGAGGCGGUACUCGAAGAGGAAGCCACGGCUAACUCCGUGCCAGCAGCCGCGGUAAUAC
rnacentral:rRNA from 1 species